GCAUAUCAAUAAGCGGAGGAAAAGAAACCAACAGGGAUUGCCUCAGUAACGGCGAGUGAAGCGGCAAAAGCUCAAAUUUGAAAUCUGGCCCCGUCAGGGGUCCGAGUUGUAAUUUGGAGAGGAUACUUCGGGUGUGGCCGUGGCUUAAGUCCCUUGGAACAGGGCGUCAUAGAGGGUGAGAAUCCCGUCUUGAGUCACCGGUCCACGCCCAUGCGAAGUUCCUUCGACGAGUCGAGUUGUUUGGGAAUGCAGCUCUAAGUGGGUGGUAAAUUUCAUCUAAAGCUAAAUAUUGGCUGGAGACCGAUAGCGCACAAGUAGAGUGAUCGAAAGGUUAAAAGCACCUUGAAAAGGGAGUUAAAUAGCACGUGAAAUUGUUGAAAGGGAAGCGCUUGCAACCAGACUCGAGCGCAGGGUUCAGCGGGCAUGCGUGCCCGUGUACUCCCUGUGCUCGGGCCAGCAUCAGUUUCGGCGGUUGGUUAAAGGCCUCUGGAAUGUAUCGUCCUCCGGGACGUCUUAUAGCCAGAGGCGCAAUGCGGCCAGCCGGGACUGAGGAACGCGCUUCGGCACGGAUGCUGGCAUAAUGGUUGUAAGCGGCCCGUCUUGAAACACGGACCAAGGAGUCUAACAUCCACGCGAGUGUUCGGGUGUCAAACCCGUGCGCGCAGUGAAAGCGAACGGAGGUGGGAGCCCAUCAGGGUGCACCAUCGACCGAUCCUGAAGUCUUCGGAUGGAUUUGAGUAAGAGCGUGGCUGUUGGGACCCGAAAGAUGGUGAACUAUGCCUGAAUAGGGUGAAGCCAGAGGAAACUCUGGUGGAGGCUCGCAGCGGUUCUGACGUGCAAAUCGAUCGUCAAAUUUGGGUAUAGGGGCGAAAGACUAAUCGAACCAUCUGGUAGCUGGUUCCUGCCG
rnacentral:rRNA from 1 species